rnacentral:rRNA from 1 species
AACGAACGCUGGCGGCAGGCCUAACACAUGCAAGUCGAGCGCCCCGCAAGGGGAGCGGCGGACGGGUGAGUAACGCGUGGGAAUAUGCCCUUUGCUACGGAAUAGUCUCGGGAAACUGGGGGUAAUACCGUAUACGCCCUUUGGGGGAAAGAUUUAUCGGCGAAGGAUUAGCCCGCGUUGGAUUAGGUAGUUGGUGGGGUAAUGGCCUACCAAGCCGACGAUCCAUAGCUGGUUUGAGAGGAUGAUCAGCCACACUGGGACUGAGACACGGCCCAGACUCCUACGGGAGGUAGCAGUGGGGAAUCUUAGACAAUGGGGGCAAACCUGAUCUAGCCAUGCCGCGUGAGUGAUGAAGGCCUUAGGGUUGUAAAGCUCUUUCAGCUGGGAAGAUAAUGACGGUACCAGCAGAAGAAGCCCCGGCUAACUCCGUG